rnacentral:rRNA from 1 species
AUACGGAGGAUCCGAGCGUUAUCCGGAUUUAUUGGGUUUAAAGGGAGCGUAGGUGGAUUGUUAAGUCAGUUGUGAAAGUUUGCGGCUCAACCGUAAAAUUGCAGUUGAAACUGGCAGUCUUGAGUACAGUAGAGGUGGGCGGAAUUCGUGGUGUAGCGGUGAAAUGCUUAGAUAUCACGAAGAACUCCGAUUGCGAAGGCAGCUCACUAGACUGUUACUGACACUGAUGCUCGAAAGUGUGGGUAUCAAACAGGAUUAGAUACCCUGGUAGUCCACACAGUAAACGAUGAAUACUCGCUGUUUGCGAUAUACAGUAAGCGGCCAAGCGAAAGCAUUAAGUAUUCCACCUGGGGAGUACGCCGGCAACGGUGAAACUCAAAGG